GAAGUAGAUAGUCUAACCUUCGGGAGGGCGUUUACCACGGUGUGCUUCAUGACUGGGGUGAAGUCGUAACAAGUGUAGCCGUAUGGGAACCUGUGGCUGGAUCACCUCCUU
rnacentral:rRNA from 1 species